rnacentral:rRNA from 1 species
UACGUAGGGUGCGAGCGUUGUCCGGAAUUAUUGGGCGUAAAGAGCUUGUAGGCGGUUUGUCGCGUCUGCUGUGAAAAUCCGGGGCUCAACCCCGGACUUGCAGUGGGUACGGGCAGACUGGAGUGUGGUAGGGGAGACGUGGAAUUCCUGGUGUAGCGGUGGAAUGCGCAGAUAUGUGGAGGAAUACCGAUGGCGAAGGCAGCCUCCUGGGCCGAACACUGACGCUCAUGCACGAAAGCGUGGGGAGCAACAGG